GUGCACUCUAACCUCCUUUCCGGUCGUCUCUCUUGAGGUUUCGAAGUAAAUCCUUGUAAUUUACAUUAAACACAUUAUCAGUUUUAUGGCGUUUGUUGUAUGAAACUCGUUGCCGUUCUUGAGCUUUUUCAAUGUUUGUGUGGACUUUAUCUUCCAUUAUACUUCUCAGACUUAACAUUUUUCCAAAUGUUUUAUUGAAAGCAACUUUAUCAAAUACGUCAUCAUCGGAUACAAUACCAAGAUCCUCAGAUAUUAUCGUGCCCCCAUAGCCACAUCGGUUGAUUUUAAAUUACAUAUACCAACAGGCAAUAUGGGUUCUCUUUGAUAUAAAACUUGGAAAGGAGAAAAAAUUGUCGAAGUAUGUUGAGUUGUACGAUGUGCAAAUAGUACACCUUGCAAAAUAUAAGGGCACUUAUUACUAUUAUUUUGCAGAACUUUGAGGAAGCAGUUUUUUAUAGUUCUGUUCUGGCGUUCACUAAAUCAUUCACUUGAGGAUGAUACGCCGAAGUCAUUCUUUGCUUGGUACCAGUUAAGCGAAAUAAUUCUGAUAUGAGUUUGUUCAGAAAUUCUCUUGAUCAGUAAUAUGAAUUAAAGGACAGCCAUGUUUGCAGAUUAUAUCAUCAUAUAGGAAGCAGGAAACUGAUUCUGCACUUUUAUUGGGAAGUUCUCUUGCUUCAGACCACUUUGAAAAUUGUCUAUUGCUACUACAACAUAUUUCAUGUCAUCGACUACUGGAAGUGUCAUAAUAUCAACACCAAUUUGUUUGAACACUUGCUUAGGCAUCACACUGCUUGAUGUAUUAUCUUACAUCGUUCAACAUUAAAGGCCAAAAGUAUCGCUUUUUCAAAAGAUUUUAUGUGGCGUCGCGACCAUGGUGUGAAGACAAAGCCGAUGCUUCCAAAGAACUAUCAGCACCAUCAUGAACCAAUUUAAUAAUUUGUGUUCGUUCUUCUGGCGUAAUUAUCACUUUGGCCAUAGUCUUUUUGUAGUACAGAACUCCAUCUUUUACUAUGAAUGGUCGACAACAUCUCCUGAAGUUUGCUCGGCUACCUUUAUCAGUUGUUGGGGUGCAUCAGCCUCAACUGCAGCUGCCAAACACUUAUCCCAUGGUCGAAACAACAUAUAUUACCUAUUGGGCAAUUCACAUUAAUAAUAAAUGUUACUAUACACACAUACCUAUCUGAUUUGUAUAUUUUUUU